rnacentral:tRNA from 1 species
GGGGAUUUGGCUCAGUGGUAGAGCGCUUGCCUAGGAAGCACAAGGUCCUGGGUUCGGUCCCCAGCCCCC